UACGGAGGGUGCAAGCGUUAUCCGGAUUCACUGGGUUUAAAGGGUGCGUAGGUGGGCAGGUAAGUCAGUGGUGAAAUCUCUGGGCUUAACUCAGAAACUGCCAUUGAUACUAUCUGUCUUGAAUACCGUGGAGGUCAGCGGAAUAUGUCAUGUAGCGGUGAAAUGCUUAGAUAUGACAUAAAACACCAAUUGCGAAGGCAGCUGGCUACACGAAUAUUGACACUGAUGCACGAAAGCGUGGGGAUCAAACAGG
rnacentral:rRNA from 1 species